AACGAACGCUGGCGGCAGGCUUAACACAUGCAAGUCGAACGCGUGUAGCAAUACACGAGUGGCGCACGGGUGAGUAACGCGUGGAUAUCUGCCUUUUGGUUCGGAAUAACCCCGGGAAACUGGGGCUAAUACCGGAUGGUUCCUACGGGAUAAAGAUUUAUCGCCAAAAGAUGAGUCCGCGUACGAUUAGCUAGUUGGUGAGGUAAUGGCUCACCAAGGCGACGAUCGUUAGCUGGUCUGAGAGGACGAUCAGCCACACUGGGACUGAGACACGGCCCAGACUCCUACGGGAGGCAGCAGUGGGGAAUAUUGGACAAUGGGCGCAAGCCUGAUCCAGCCAUGCCGCGUGAGUGAUGAAGGCCUUCGGGUUGUAAAGCUCUUUUGGCGGGGACGAUGAUGACGGUACCCGCAGAAUAAGCCCCGGCUAACUUCGUGCCAGCAGCCGCGGUAAGACGAAGGGGGCUAGCGUUGUUCGGAAUUACUGGGCGUAAAGCGCGUGUAGGCGGUUUUCCAAGUUGGGUGUGAAAGCCUUGGGCUUAACCCAAGAAAUGCACUCAGUACUGGAAGACUAGAGGACCGGAGAGGAUAGUGGAAUUCCCAGUGUAGUGGUGAAAUACGUAGAGAUUGGGAA
rnacentral:rRNA from 1 species